GCCCAGAGUUUGAUUCAGGCUCAGGACGAACGCUGGCGGCGUGCCUAAUACAUGCAAGUCGAACGAACUCUGGUAUUGAUUGGUGCUUGCAUCAUGAUUUACAUUUGAGUGAGUGGCGACCUGGUGAGUAACACGUGGGAAACCUGCCCAGAAGCGGGGGAUAACACCUGGAAACAGAUGCUAAUACCGCAUAACAACUUGGACCGCAUGGUCCGAGCUUGAAAGAUGGCUUCGGCUAUCACUUUUGGAUGGUCCCGCGGCGUAUUAGCUAGAUGGUGGGGUAACGGCUCACCAUGGCAAUGAUACGUAGCCGACCUGAGAGGGUAAUCGGCCACAUUGGGACUGAGACACGGCCCAAACUCCUACGGGAGGCAGCAGUAGGGAAUCUUCCACAAUGGACGAAAGUCUGAUGGAGCAACGCCGCGUGAGUGAAGAAGGGUUUCGGCUCGUAAAACUCUGUUGUUAAAGAAGAACAUAUCUGAGAGUAACUGUUCAGGUAUUGACGGUAUUUAACCAGAAAGCCACGGCUAACUACGUGCCAGCAGCCGCGGUAAUACGUAGGUGGCAAGCGUUGUCCGGAUUUAUUGGGCGUAAAGCGAGCGCAGGCGGUUUUUUAAGUCUGAUGUGAAAGCCUUCGGCUCAACCGAAGAAGUGCAUCGGAAACUGGGAAACUUGAGUGCAGAAGAGGACAGUGGAACUCCAUGUGUAGCGGUGAAAUGCGUAGAUAUAUGGAAGAACACCAGUGGCGAAGGCGGCUGUCUGGUCUGUAACUGACGCUGAGGCUCGAAAGUAUGGGUAGCAAACAGGAUUAGAUACCCUGGUAGUCCAUACCGUAAACGAUGAAUGCUAAGUGUUGGAGGGUUUCCGCCCUUCAGUGCUGCAGCUAACGCAUUAAGCAUCCGCCUGGGAGGGCCG
rnacentral:rRNA from 1 species